GGGGAGGUCACUGUCCUUUCUCCUUCCGGAGGGAUGUUCGGUGUUGCGGUCCAUGUGCACGUUGGAAAAAACUUCCAUUCUCAGAGCGACGUGAGAAGAAAGAUAAGCUGAUUGAGCUGAGCAGCACUGCUAGCCAGUGGGACCACCUCUGGUCAUCAGGGAGAGCAGGUGCGUGGGGCGUCUGUUUUCCUAGCCCAGGGACAAAGGAGCGAGGAGAGGUCUUAGGAUACACCUGCUGGUUGGUUGGGGGCAUAUGUGUCCCCAUAGGGCAGGGUGAGGAGGGGGCUGCAUACCUUUCCUAGUGGGGGUGGGAAGGAGCAGCCAGGUUGUGUGAGAACUUGAGACCUGGGCAGCCGUUACAAUGAGACCAUUACAAUAAGGGCAAUUCUUACCUUGGCCAGAGGCUUCUUGAGUUGCCUCUCCUUGGAGAGGUCCUGUCCCACAUUCAGGUGGGAUGUUCAGGGUAUGUGGGGAGGAGACAGGGUUGAAAGGCUAGUGCAGGAUUUGGGAGGCAGGGGCAGGACUCCCCGGGAGGUCCUGGCUGCAGGGGGAAAAGCCAGGCAGGUGGACGGGGAACACGGCUGGGAAGAAUCUGUGAGGACACGGAGGGGGCCACGCAGCCAGCAGCCCCCAGGAGGGGAACUGGAGAGGUUUAUCUGCAAGGCCAGUGAAAUGGAUGGGUUCUUUUUUGCAGGGGGUCUGGACGUAGUGAUAAAACCGGUGAGGGGACGGAGCCCCUGUGCGGGGUCCCGGGGCCGAGCAUGUUCCAGCCAGACAUUGACAUACUGUGAGCAGCCAUCAGCCGACCCCACCUUCACUGUCCUCUGCAGGGAGCUGGGGUGUGGCUCAGCCCCGUACCAGAGACAGAGGUUCUAGAAAGGGGCAGCAGUGUGUUGUGUGUGAGGGCUCUGAGCCAGCUGUGCUGAACUGCAAGGCCAGCCGGGCGAUCUUUAAGCCUGUGUCCUGGCUGGUGAGGUCGUCUGCUCGGGUAAGAAGGUUGCUCUCCUGGCCCAGUCCCUUGGAAGCCUACUCCCUGAUCAUUCCAGAACCCUGUCGACUAAAAAAAUAUGCACACCCUGAAAGUUGAGAAUUAGAUUUUAUUUGGUGGACAAAACUGAGGACUUAAGCCCAGGAGGCAGCCUCUCAAGUGACCCCGAGAAAAGUGCUCUGAGUUGGCGAGGGAGGCGCCGGGAUCUGCAGGAGUUUUGCAACAAAGGGCAGGUGGGGGGAGCAAAGAGUGUUGCUAAUAACAGAAAACGAGGCAUCUCAAGGGCCUGGUGCUUUUCUGAGCCCGGGAGACGUAAGGUCUGGGCUCACAGCAAUCACUCCUGUGGUGCACACCUCAGCUCUCGGGGCCAGCAUCUUGUGGUUUCACAGCCUGAGCUCCCUCGGGGCUCACCCGGCUCACCCUGGGGAGAGGCUGCAGUCUUGUGGCUGCUAGAUGGCAGGUGGUCUUCAUUUCCUUCCCGUGUGCCCUCAGGGCUCCCUGCUCACCCUUGGGGGUGGCUGCAGUAGCUGAUGCCUGUGACAUCUUUUGUUUGCUGAUAGGACAGGCACCAUUUUUAUUUCUCAGCACUAUCGCUUUGGAUCUGGUGUCCUGGGACUAACGCCGGGUGGCCUGGAGAAGCUCAUAACUUCUUUGGUUCUAGGCCUGUGUGUCCCCUUGGGGGUCAGCUCAGUGACCUCUAGAUUGGUGCCAACAUUUCAAGAUGUUAGGAAUAUUUCCUGGGGUUUAAGGGAGGGAGAGAGUGAUUUCUCCAGAAACGCCACAUUCCUCUUGUUUUCAGCAUCUCAGCUUCAGAAGCAGGCUUUUUGAGAAUUUUUCCGACAGAGGAGCGCAUUCCUCCAAGGGCUCCUGCAAGUGGUCUCGUGCGUGUUACACUGGCAGACUUCAAGGCACCGCCAUCAAGGAGUCCAUGCGGAUGGAGUUUGUGGAACAGGGUUGGUUUUACAGUGUUCAAAGGAAAAGCUGGAUGGUUGCAGUUGUAGCUUGGGAGGUGGCCCUGGGAGGUGGAAGGAGGCUGACCUGUGCCCGACCUCAGAGCCACUGCCCGGGGCCUGCUUGUAAGUGAUUGAUACUCAGCCCUAAGGACCUCAAUAAAUAAAGGGGCAGGAGGGACCAGAAACAUCUUGGCUCACCUACUGGGUGUGGGAGUGUGGGGGUGCCGUGGGUGAGCCUGUCUCCAUGUGACUGGGUCUGUGCCUCUAGCUCCUCGCCGUGGGUGCUGAAGGAGCAGCAGGAGCAGCGGGCGCAGGACAGACAGUGGGCCCUUUUUUCCACCCUUCUCUGCGGGAGGUGCAAACAGUGGAUGGCUCAGUGGCCCUCAGGGCUGUUUCCUGGGGUCUCCACUGGGCUCCCCCUGGUGGGGGGGAGUCCCUCAGAAGCUUUAGGGGAUUUUUCAGGGCUUCCCUACAUGAGAGACAUGCAGCCAGCUUUGAGCAUCUCUAAGCUAACUUCAGCCAUAGUUGGGACUUACUGGAAACACGUGGGACAGUCUGAGCCUUCAGUCAACUGCCUGAGCCUACAGAAGAGCUUGGGCCUCUCUGAGUCUGGACUGGGGAGGAAGCUGGCAGCUCAGGCACCAUGUCCUGGGGGGCCCUGUGGUUUUCUCCUCUCUACCUUCCCACCUUGGGAUCAUGGAACCUGCUGCCAUGCAGUGCAUCUGGGCAGGCUGGUGUGGUGGGUGGGACAGGACCAUGGCCUUUCAAGGAGGAAUGGGCACCACCUGACCAGCUCUGUGAACACUCAUGGACCCACUGCUCUGGCGUGUGGGGUUCCCAGCACUUGCAGGAAGUUGUGGGAGGGUCGGGUGCAGGAAGAGACUGUGGUGCGUGGCGGGGGGUCCCUGACGGGAAGUAGAGUUACCCAUGAAGCUUCCGAGGGAGGGAAGAAGGAGGACUGUGUGCUCAGGCUGCCCUGUCUGUCUGCCCCCAGGACACACACAGGCCUGGCUGGCGGGGGGUGGGCACCCCUGCGCUGGGCGCCUGGAGGUGAGACAUGGCCUGACCUGGGCACCGUCUGUGACGCCGACCUGGACCUUGCCACGGCCCACACGGUGCGCCGGGAGCUGCAGUGCGGCGUGGCCGUGUCCAUGCUCCGGGAAGCCCAAAUCUUUGGACCCUCUGAAGGAGGAAGGGGUUUUAGUCCUACUGUCUGGGUUUAGGCUGAUGCUCGCACAGGCAAGUAGCAGACUGCACAUCGGUCACGCCAUCCCUCCCGAGACCUGACCUGGAUUCCAUCACUUCCCUGAACCCAGCUUCCCGACCUGUCCGACCCCCGUGGGCUCCCAGCUGCCCCUGCAGACGCAAAGGUGCAGAGCUGCUGCCCCUGGGCACGGCUGGACUCCAGCUCCCACUUUUGGUCACUUGGAAGCAGGGGCGGAGCUGUGGGGGUGGGGAAAGUCAGCAGGACGCUGGAGAAGAUAGACCCUGUGAGCCCUGGGUGCCCGGGGCCGGGGGUUCCCAGCUCCUGGGCUGCCAAGGGCCUGGGUCAUCGGGCCUAGAACUGGGGAUUCGAGGACACUGUCAGCUGCAAACUCCCGCUGUGGUCACAGGCAGCCCUGGCAGAGCAGACGGCCCCCCACCUGUACUGAGGCUGGUUUUCUCUAGGGAGAGGGUCUCUGGGGAGGGUCUCUCUCCAUGGGCCCCUUUGCAGGAUCCCAGGGACACAGGGAUGUCUCCUCUGAAGUUGUCUAGGAGCAGAUCCUCGAAGACCCAGGGGACUCGAGCGGUGCAAACCUGCAGCCUGGAGACUCUCUGCCCAGGGAGUGUGAGGGCUCUUACACCCCUGCCCUCACUCUGACACCAGGACAGGGCGGCAGAGCCACCACGGCCUUCCCGGAGCCCCUGUGGGAAUGUUUCCUGCCGGAGUCCAGCUCCAGCAGCCAGGGUGUCCCUGCGGGGAUGGACAGUGUCGGGGAUGCACACGGAGACCGCCUCUUUGUCCCUUCUCUCAGGGCGCUGGACUGCUCAAAUUUCAUUAGCAUAGGUAGCAGUUUAUAUGGAUAGCUUAAUUGUAACUUACAUUACAGUGCUUAGGUCAUAUUCUUAAAGGUUAAACUUUUAGAUUACAUGGUACAGUAGAUAUACAUUGUAUUCUAAGGAUUUUAAUGAAAACCAACGGAUACAAUACAUCAUGUAACACUACAAUGGGUACAAAACAUCAUGUGGAAAAAACGUUAUAUGAAAAUAAGGCGAUUCGGUAAAAAACGUUUUGUGGUUACUUUUAGCAAGCACCACCUGUUAUUGUUUUAAGCUAAUCUUUAACAACUAGAAAGGUCACAAGCAUAAGAAUUUGACAUUUACAAAAACUCAUGUUUUGGAUUAAAGCUUGGGGUGCUAACUUCAAAGCGUUAUGGUCAGGGGACAGUAUGAGAAAAUAUUUUUUUAUAUCAAAGCAACUUAGUUUCAUAAAACUUAAAAGCUUAUUACAAAAUUCAUUAAAAGCAAGAUUAUUAUGUUUUUCCAUGUAUGUCUAACCUAUUCGUAAGCUAUGGUACAUAGCACAAUUGCCUAACUCUACAACCCAUUCUUACUUGUAACAAACUAACGAAUACUUUGUUUUUCCCUACAUUGGAUCUGAAUAGGGGGAAUUCAACCAAAGUGAAGCUCUUAUUAUUUUAUUACUGUUCCAAUUUUUUGUUGUUCCAAUUUUAUUGAGUCACAAAACAAUAUAGGAGAAUAACAAAAAAUAACAAACAAAUAACAGGAAAGAUUGAAUAAUAAGUAAAUAACAAGAAAGACUGAUUUUUCCCAGAAGUGGUUUUAUUCUUGUACUGUUGUGCAAAGCCUUCAUCUUGUUAUUGUUGAUGCUGUUGUCGGGUUAGCAGGUGAACCUCAUUAUUUUUAGAACUUGCCCUCGGAACUGUGCUGCCAGGUAAGCCCUUUCCCCUAUUUCUAAACCUGCCCUCGGAACUGUGCCAGCGGGUAGGCUUUGUUCCUCGGUGAGGAACCCUGCCUUUGGAACCGUGCUGUCAGGCUAGUUCCCUUCCUCGGCCUCCUGCAUGUCCUCGGCUCCCCGCAGUUUCUGAGGAGAGUGGCGUCGGUCCCCGAUGGAGCACAUAGGCGGAGCUUGUCAUUAACGGAUGGUGCGCGAGCGCCAGGCAGGUACUGGCAGCCUGGUCAUCUGGAAAGGGUGCAGGGAGGGCAGGGUCUCGGGGGUCUCCGGACAAUCACUGGACAAACCAGAAAAGGGUCAGAUAAGGACGCAUGCUGGGCAGAGUUAGCACGGAGAUGUGACACUUGGCACAGGUCCUCACUGGUGGGUGGGGACCAGGUGUGUGGAGUGAGGAGCCAGGAAGAGGAGCCUGGUGCUCCCAGGAGGACCAGACGCCUGAGGGGCAUGGUUGGGAGGGCACACAAAUAUCUGCACGCCUCCCAGGGCCUCUACAACCUGGCUAGCUCCUGGCUCUCUCAGCGGCCCUGGGCUCCCCGAGGCCCCUUGCCCUGAGGAGACUCAGCCACGCCACCCAGAGCAUGUGAGGGAUUAAAGGAAGUACCUACAUACCAACAAGCCUCGACCCCAUCCCUGGGACCCCACACUCUGCUCCAGUGGUUGGGUGGGGGGGCAGAGCAUACCUGAGCCCACCCAGGGGAGUUAAGCACCUGAGCCAAAGCUCCCUGGGAAGGGCCAGAGGGGCCAAAGCUCAAAGCUGGUCUCGUCCACCUCUGCACUGCCCACUCUGCCACGUGAUGCCUUGGGGUUGGGAGCCAGGAGGACAGGCGGGCAGCCAUGCAAGCCAGGCAGCCCUCCGGGUGGGGGUGUCCCUCCCGCCCCCGCUUCUCCGUCCGUCUCUCCUUCCAGGGACACCAAUGAACUCCUGCCGGUUGUGUCUUUCUGACAAACCCAACAGCCUCCCUAGAGCGGGUAUCUAGGAUGAUCUCUCUCUCACGGAUGGUUGAGUCGCCCCUAGGACCUGGUGGCCUGCUCACAAAGUCUCCUUCCCAGCCUCAGGUGACCUGCCCAUCCUGCUGCAGGGAACUGGCCCUUCAGCAGUGGGAGGGGAGCCCCCCUUGCCAGUGUCCUGGUCCUCAGGCUCCAGCUACGAUGAAGUGGGUGCCAUGGCGAGCACCAGGCUGUGAGCCCACUGCGCCUUCUGUGUUGGUGCUUCUCCUUGGGGUGCUUCCAGGUGAACCUUGGUUUUCUUAUUUUGGACAGAUUGCCUUCAGAAGCUUCCUUAUCACGCCCCGCGCCUGUGUUAUUAAUAAAGUCCACCCAUUUAAUGAAGUUAGAGCGUCAGUCCCACCUCGUGUUAGAGGAGACAAGAUCAGUAAACCACAGGAAGCCAGGACCAUGCAGGGUCUCGGCCGUGCCUCUGCCUGCUCCCAAGCAGCUCCUGAGCUGUGGGGACGUCCGACCCCUGGGCCUGGGCCACGUGCUGCUGCACACCCACCUGCACAGCUCUGAUUGCCCGCCGCCUUCCUGUCUGCCUGGCACACGGCACAGCUUGUCCUAAUUCGCUGUGGUUUCCUCUGAACACGGCAGUGAGUUUCCUCAGACAUCCCUCUGGGGUCUUCCCUGGUUUCUUGGAAGAAUCCUUCCUUCUCAGCAUUGGUGAUGCUUCUCCUGGCUUCAUCCCACACCCCGAGGCCUCUGAUGGCAGCUCUUAAGAGCCCCGGCUCCUCUGAUGGACCCAAACACUUGGCAUGAGGUUAAGUUAUGACAAACUGCCCUCCUUCCUGGUUUUUUUUUGGUACGUUCCUGGCUACUAUUAUCCUUUUAAUACAUCACUUAAUUUGGGAUCCUACUGUGUGAUGAAGGAUUUUUGCAUGUAUGUUCAUGCUUGGAAUUGUCCUGCCAUGUUUUUCCUUCUUUGUUUUACUUUGGUUUCAAAAUAAUAACGGCCUCAUAGAAGGAGACAGGGGGGAUUUUUCCCUCUUUCUCCAAGGGAGGAAUGAUGUAUGGCUGGAAUGAUCUCACCUGUACAACCAUCUGGGAGUAUUAGUUAUCCUGAAGGAAAAAUUUUAAAGAACUUAUGGAAUUUCAGCAGUUCAGUAAUUAACUCAGGCUUACUAUUUUUCUCAAAUCAGUUUCGUUCAUUUAUAAGCUGUAUUUAUUUAGACGUUUAUUCAUUUGAUCUGUUUCCAAAUUUAUCAGCUUAAAGUUGUAGUAUUUUCUUCUUGUUGGAUCUGUACUCAUGCGUCCUUUUAAAUUCUCCACGUUAUUGGUUUGAAUCUUCUUGUUAUCAGACUUGCCAGAGAUUUAUUUUGUGUCUCUUCAAAAACCAAAUUCUGGCUUUUUAUCUGUCUUAUUAAAUUCUGCUUUUAUCUCUCACAAUGUUCAUUUUUCUUGGUUUUAUUAUAGUUCUUUUUCUCACUUAAAAUUGCAGCUCAUUUAUUUUUUAGCAUCUUUUAUAUCAACAGUUAAGCAGUACGUUUCACUUUAAGUACUAUUGUCAUGAAAUCUCACGUUUUGACACGCAGCAUUUUAUUGUCGUUCGGUUCUAAAUAUUUUAAAGAUCCCAUUAGUUCUUCCCUGACAUAUGGGUUAUUUAGAUGUGUAUUUUAAAAUAUCCAAAUAUAUCAGAAUUUUGACUUGUCUUCUCUCAAAGUUUCAUUGUGGAAAAUUUCAAACAUCUAGCGGAGUUGAAAGAAUUUGCAGAGAACACCCAUUUGCCUGCUUAGGUUUUGCCUUUAACGUUUCCUUACCUGUUAGCAUGUCUGUCCUCCACAUCCACCCAUCUCUUCACCCAUGGAUCUAUAUUUUUUAGAUGCGUUUCAAAAUACAUUGCAGAUUUCAGUACACUUCCUCCUAAGUACCUCAGCAUGUGUUAACUGGGUUCAAAACGUGUUUCUUUUUCCUUUGUUUCAGAAUUUUCAUCUUGUGGAGUGUACAAGUCGUAACUGCACAGCCCCUGGGUCUUGAUGAUGCGUAAAGCGCUAUCAGGCUGUAGAACAGCGUCCUCACCUCUGGAAGUUCCCAUCAUGCUUCUUCCCCUGACAGGACCACAGUUCUGAUUUUUUCUGCCAUAAAAUAGUCUUGCACAUUCUAGACCCAUUCACAUAGAACAGAAUCAUACAAUGCACACUCUUUUGUGUAAGGCUUCUUUCACUUGGCACAAUGUUUCUGAGGUCCACCCAUGCUGUUUUGCGUAUCUAAAGUCUGUUUCUUUAGAGUGCUGAGCAAUCUGCUGUUAUGUGACUCUACCACAAUUUGUUUUUUCCAUUUUCUUACCCCUGAAAAACUGGGCUAAUUUUAUAUUUUGGCUGAAUGAAUAAAGUGGCUCCAGAAUUCUUGUACA
rnacentral:lncRNA from 1 species